rnacentral:rRNA from 1 species
CGACGUGAGGAACCUGCCUUCCAGAGGGGGACAACAGUUGGAAACGACUGCUAAUACCGCAUGAUGCAUUUGAAUCGCAUGGUUUGAAUGUCAAAGAUUUAUCGCUGGAAGAUGGCCUCGCGUCUGAUUAGCUAGUUGGUGAGGUAACGGCCCACCAAGGCGACGAUCAGUAGCCGGACUGAGAGGUUGGCCGGCCACAUUGGGACUGAGAUACGGCCCAGACUCCUACGGAAGGCAGCAG